UACGGAGGAUGCAAGCGUUAUCCGGAUUUAUUGGGUUUAAAGGGCGCGCAGGUUGUUUGAUAAGUCAGUGGUGAAAGUCUGUCGCUUAACGGUAGGAUUGCCAUUGAUACUGUUGGACUUGAAUAUGGAUGAGGUAGGCGGAAUGUGUAGUGUAGCGGUGAAAUGAAUAGAUAUUACACAGAACACCGAUUGCGAAGGCAGCUUACUAAUCCAUCAUUGACGCUGAGGCACGAAAGCGUGGGGAUCAAACAGGAUUA
rnacentral:rRNA from 1 species